rnacentral:rRNA from 1 species
GGUGACAGGUGGUGCAUGGUUGUCGUCAGCUCGUGUCGUGAGAUGUUGGGUUAAGUCCCGCAACGAGCGCAACCCUUAUCCUUAGUAGCCAGCAGUUAGGCUGGGCACUCUAGGGAAACUGCCAGGAAUAACCUGGAGGAAGGGGGGGAUGACGUCAAAUCAUCAUGCCCCUUAUGACUUGGGCUACCCCCGUGCUACAAUGGCGUAAACAAAGGGAAGCAAAACGGGGAGGCUAAACAAAUCCUCAAAAUAACGUCUCAAUUCGGAUUGGUGUCUGCAACUCCACUUACUGAAGCUGGAAUUCCUUGUAAUCCCCAAUCAAAAUGGCCCGGUGAAAUCCUUCCCGGGUCUUU